rnacentral:rRNA from 1 species
CCUACGGGGGGCAGCAGUGAGGAAUAUUGGUCAAUGGCCGAGAGGCUGAACCAGCCAAGUCGCGUGAGGGAAGACGGCCCUACGGGUUGUAAACCUCUUUUGUCGGGGAGCAAAGCGAACCACGUGUGGUUCAUUGAGAGUACCCGAAGAAAAAGCAUCGGCUAACGCCGUGCCAGCAGCCGCGGUAAUACGGAGGAUGCGAGCGUUAUCCGGUUUUGUUGGGUUGAAAGGGUGCGCAGGCGGAGGUGCAAGUCAGCGGUCAAAUUGCGGGGCUCAACCCCGUACUGCCGUUGAAACUGCAUCCCUUGAGGGCGAGAGAAGUAUGCGGAAUGCGUGGUGUAGCGGUGAAAUGCAUAGAUAUCACGCAGAACUCCGAUUGCGAAGGCAGCAUACCGGCGCGCAACUGACGCUGAUGCACGAAAGCGUGGGUAUCGAACAGGAUUAGAUACCCCGGUAGUC